rnacentral:lncRNA from 1 species
CUGAAAUAUCUAGUCAACUUUAGAGGCAUGCACUCUAUUGAUAAAGACAAUCUAAAAUCAACUGUUUUGUCUCUGUAAAGCUAUUCAUGCUAUGCGUUUUGCUGGUUUUUAUAUGCUUUUUGUUGCAAACAAUUUCCAAAACAUAUUUACGUAUCAAUUAUAAUGUUUCUAGAAUUUUUUCUUUUCUAAUUUUUUUCUCAUUUGCUAGAACUAAAUCUACUUUUCUAAAUUACCUAAAGUUAUUUUCAUAGGCUCUAAAUAUUUUGUUGGAUUUGUUAUUCCAAUCUAUCUCGAGAAUUUCUUAUGAAAAUUUUCAAAUCUUACAGAUAUUUUUUUGUUAUAACUAUAAAAAAAGAUAAAAUUGACUUCAAAACCUUGAACAGUUUUAAAAUAUUAGGAUAUAUUAGCAAAUAUGUCCGUGCGUUGCAACGGGAGAAAAACAUCAAAUGGAUGUUACAUAUCUAUUUAUAUUUAUUUUUUAAAAAAUUUGAAGUCUAUAAUUUAUUUUAUUGAUAACCAUGACAUCUAUGGUAUUAGAUAGUUAAUAUUUACAAUAAAAUGUAGCUCGGAGAUA